UAGAUGCCACUUUUUCUGAGAGCACUCUUCCUCUCUGCCCUCAUCUUCUUAGUCUACUUGAUGAAUUGUGCUUCUUAGGUUACCUGUGUCCUUAUGUGUUUAUGGAAGCAAAAUACAUAAUGACAUUUCAGGUGUCUGGGGACAGAUUGUAAUGUGACCUCCAUGUGUGCAGAAGACUAAAUUUGGUAGAAAAUCCAGCUCUCUUCAUAUGACUUAACGUGCUGCUGCUUCCCCUCUUUGUCUUCCGUGAGCCAUUGUUCAGGUACUUUGAGGUAGACGUCAUCUACUCCCUUGAGGAGAUUCCUGACCAGUUAUCCCAGAUUAGUGAUAGAUUCUUCUAGAGCAACAAGAGUCUGCUUUGAAAGGCCUUCAGGUACCAGAGUGAAUACUAACCUAGAAUGUAGAAUAUCUUUCUGAAUAUGAAGACUGUCAUCCUGUUGAGAAUAUUAGGAACAGUCUCUCUCUCUCUCUUUUUCUCUAUAUGGUUCUCUUUUCUAUCAUUAAAAAAAAUGUCUUGUUUUUUUUAGGGGAGGUGCCGAUUGUGUGUGUGUGUGUGUGUGUGUGUGUGUGUGUGUGAGAUUCAUAAUCGGAAGUGUUGGUUUGAAAACGAGCUGUUCCAUUUUUCACCCACCUUACUAAACCGUAUGUUAAGAGAAAUAAAAGUGAAUCAUUUUGAAUUAAUGCUUUGAAAAAAAAACUCCAGAUAAUCAGUGUUCAAGUGUUGAUUAAUAUACAGUAAAUCAUGAUUUUUCUAUAAGGGUAUCAAGGCAUUACUAAUGAAUUAGUUUUUCUGGCUAACAGUAGAUUAACCAGAAAUCUUUUCUGUCUUUCUCGUUUUGAAUUUUUUUUUUUAUUAAUGUGCUAGUCCCCUUUCCUACCCUAGAAAGAACAUUGGGAAUGUAAUUGAAUCUUUCUUUGAGGUUUGAGGAUCUUACAGUGCCACAGGGUCACUGUUCUGAGGAUGAAUUCUGAUUGUACAUUAUAGAACUGUGAAUGGAGACAGUGCCAGAGAUUGGACUAAAUCUGCCCUGAUCCCAGCUUGGAAAUUGUUUUCUUUUUCUGUUAAAUCCUCGAUGUCAGUAUGUUUUGUUAGUUGCCUUCCUUGGCCUCUGACUUGCAAGGAGCAAGGCAGACAUUCACUUUAAUUAGUUGACUAGUUACUUGAGGUUUGUACUUUCUAGGAAAAUUUCAACCUGAAUCGAGAACCUUAAUUUUUUCCCUGCAGUUAUGGUGGAUGUAAAAUCACUCUCAGAUGUUUAGGAAGGCUGUUUUAUUUACAAAGAAGUUAUGUAAGGUAUUACCGUAGCAUUAUAUAACUUCUCCCCCUACUUGUAAUAAUGGCAAAUAGAAAUAUCGGCUAAUUUUGCCUCUUCCUUAGAUAUGUUGAGAGGGUAUCACAAAUCCUAAAAACUAACACAUUCUAGGGUUUGAGGGAAGACUUUCAAGAAUAUCAAUAAAGAACGUUUAAAUUCCCCCAAAGGAAAUUCUCCUUUCAAGUUUGGGCCUUUGUUCCCUGGGCCAGUGUGGGAAGCAUGCCCAGGAGGGCACCAUCAGAGGCUGACUUUCUCAGGGCCCUCCCACUUGACUUAAUGAUAGUCUGUGGUUAUCUUCUGGCAUCUUUGAUGUCACAGCAUUGCAAAUUCAUCUUAGGAGUCGUGGCGUUCUUUUGUGACAGCCCAGUUAUUAUUAUUAUGAUUAUUUUGUUUUUGGAGUAAGGACAUCAAGGAGAUUAUCUAGAGAAGUCCAUAGGAGAGGGGAACGGGGCGUGAUGAGGAAUAAAUGUGCCACAUCUUGUGGCUCGCUUUUUGCUCCCCCUUUAAAUGCCAAUGUGACAAAGGAGUCACAGGUACCAAUUCCCAUGUGUUGAUAGAAGAACGGUCUCUUGUUGUUUUUUCCUAACAGACGUUUAUGACCUCCAUUGACAGGUCAUUAUUACAGACUGUCCUAGCACCUUCUGUGCUAUGGCACAUUGACAGUGGCGUGGCCCUGUGGUUUCCUGGUGAUUGUCUCGUCCACAGAAGUGAGGCCCUGGUGGCCAGCUGCAGGGCCCUCUGCAGUGUCCACCACCAGUCGAGAGUACAGGUCUCCCACGCCCUGAAAGGUGCCAGAGGACUGCAGGCUGUGCCAGGAAGUUUCUGUACCAGCACUGUUUGCCCCAAAGCUCAAUCGGAGGCUGGAACUGAGUAGGAACCCUUAUGGCAUAGAGGAUUUAUAGUCUCCCAGCCUCGAGUCAUCUCUAGCAACAUUAUUGGGCAUUUGAGUUUUGAUUAUGAACUAUCUUAAAGUUGCUUUUUUUUUUUUUUUUUUUUUAAAUAAUCAGGAAGUUCCUCCAUCCAUGAACAAACCGUAAUAGAUGAAACUCUUCUGGGGUGCAAGGAAGGGUGCCACUUAGUACAGGAUCCUCAAGCCUGUGAAAGAGGCAGCGCACUGUUAAAAAUACCUAGCUUACUUCGGGGGAGGAUUUGGCUGAAUGCUGAUGAAGUUUAUGAAAUAUGAAUGUAGUGAAGUUGCUGUACGUAAGUGGUAGGCGUGUGUGAAAGAAGUAAGAAGAAAUAAAAUUGUGUAUAAAUGACACUCUGAAACUUGAUGGAAUUGUAUACGUGACAGGAAUGGUGACGUUUGGGUCUGUGCUUAAUGGGGGAAAAUAAACUGGCUUAAAGUCUAUAUGUCAAACUAGAUGGGGGGCUAAAAAUUAUAGAAGAUAAAAUUAUUGGACUUAUUUUAUGAGCAAAGGAUGCUACCAAGGAUAAAUAGGCAGAUUGCAAGUGGUAGAGGUGAAGCAGAAUAGGGGGAAAAAAAUGAGGAAUCAACACUUGAAUUUAUAACGAGCUAUGGUAAUCACUGUUUUAAAUAAUCCCAACCAUUAACUACUGUGCUGCUAGACAGAGAAUUAGUUAUAGCCAAACAAAAGGCAUAAAUAUGAAUUUUAGGUUGUGUGGGAGAAAUCCUCUUGAUCCCCAAAGCAUAAAUGCAUGUACUGAGAAGCAAAGCUACACACGAUGUAAUUUUUUCUGUCUUAUCCCAAUUAAUUGACAGCCAACUGUAUGCCUCUUUCCUGAAGGUGACUUUACAAUCUCCAGACACAGACAUUUCUCUCAGAAGUGGAGUGAAGGAAGGAGAACCACAAGCUAAAGGCAAUGAAAAGAGGAAAAGUUGACACUUUGAGAAGUUAUGACGAACUUGUCGAGAAUGCCAAUUGACAAAGGCAGGUAAGGGAAUACUUGGAAAAACAGAACAAGAACAGGUCUGAAGGGCAUGCUGAUCUGCUUCCUAGCGUGUUAAGGGAAUUGGCGGGCAUGUUUAUUGACUCUUCCAAUUAGUUUUAAAGAAACCUGAAGAAAUGGACAAAGACGGAGAAAAGACAACCAGAUGUGAUUCUGCUCUUCCAGAAGCAGAGAGGCUUUUCUCAUCCCAUAUGAUCGAUGCCAGUCCUGGGGAAGACUCACUGUAUAGCAGUUAAUGGAUUUUCAACAUACCAAUCACAGAAGAAACAAGGGUAUAUUUAGCAAGUCUAAAAACUCUUCAAUAAACUGCAUUGCUUUUCAUUUUCACUGUACAGUCAUAAAGCCAGGGGAUGGUAAGAAGGCCAUGGUAAUGAUACAGCGUGUACUCCCAGGAACGUUUGUAUGAUGGGGAUAUUACGUCUGAAAGGACAGGGCAUCUGGGAGGAUGAACUGCCCAUAACUCUCAAUUGUCCAGGUAAUGAAGCAUUGGAAAGCAAACGCAAAUGAAAUACUUUGAUAAUCAAAAAUGAUUCUUCUUUUAGUGAUCAUAUUAGUUGACUGAUGGUGACAGGUAUGAAAUUGCGAGUUGCGUGUAGCCAUUUCUGGCACUCGUGGUCCACUUCUGAUGAGCAUGUUGAUGUGGAAAGUGGGAACCCGGACGGUUUCUAUAGACCGGGCUGUGAACCCAGAAGAUGUAAAAUUUGACAGCGUGAAGGACAAAGGUUGAAGAUUAGUGAGCCCUAAAAUUUCUUGAGGCCUUACAGAGAAUCAGUUGGAGAACUGACGCUACACUGAGAAGCUCUAGCAAGUCCUAAAGCUCAUUUUUCUCACCUCGAGCUUGAGGGUGUGUGCUAGGUGUGUGCUAGGUGUGUGGUGCUCACUCACCAUGCUGGUGCCGGUGCUGUUUUAUUAGCCCAAGGCCUGUUAGACGCAGAAGCGGCCUUCUAAAUCAUAUAGCCUGGCCCUUCUCCUUUAAACUGACACUCACAGAGAUCUAAUAAUGUGUCUGAGUUCCCAUUCCUAGUAAGUGGCAAGACUGUGACAAGAGUAUGGGUCAUCUACUUUGUAGAAGCGUUCCAGUGUUCCUUGCCUUUGUGUGCUGUGCCGAGAUACUCGGAAAUUCCAGCAGGUACAGAAUCAAUUUCCUGAACCCCCUCUCCCCGUCCUGCCAGGUAACCCCCCUGAGGAUAUUAUGAUGCAUACACAAGUUAAUCCAGCAUGAGGUAGCUGACAUCUCUGAAACUCAAUGCAUGUGACGUUGGUUGUGCGUCAGUAAUGGAGCAUUAUCAGUAAUUGUUAUGUUUUCAUAUCCCACUGGGCAUUUUGAAUAUUAUAUGAAAAUUAGCCCAUGAACACCAGUCAUGGCCAUGUCAGUAAAAGCAUUCUGAAGCAUAGUGAAAAUAGUGCCUGUAUCUUAUGCACUGCUGAUUGCGUAGAAAGUAAAAUAGAGGCUCUGGAAGGGACCGUCUUGUCAUCGGUGCCAGCCUGAGCGGUUAUGCUCGCUAGAGCUGGAUGCAGCCAGAGGGUGGAAUGGAGAGGCUGGCUCUCAGCAACUGCCCUUUUUCGUCAAGGCAGAGGAAAGGCUGUGUCUUUUAUAAGAGAUGCUCAAGAGGAAGUGCACCCGUGGAAUACUAUAAUAGCUAGUAAAAAUCCUAUUCCAGUAGAAAAGUAUCUCUUGAUAGGGGAAAAUGUUUGUCAUCUAUUAGUGAAAAGUAAUAACCUUCAUAGCAGUGUGCCCAGAAUGACAUCAUUUUUGUAAAAAACUAUAGUGUGUGUAUUAAUAUGGACCCACGUACACCUUAAUAAUGAAAUGAUAAAAUGGUUAUUUUUAGUGUGAGUUUUUUUUGUGCCCUUCUGUAUUUUUGACUUUCCUGCAUUAUACAUGUAUUACUUUUGUAACUAGAAAAAAAUAAAUCUUAUUUUUUUUCUAAAAGAAA